AGGGCAGACAUACUGAGAAUUGAGCCUUUCCUGUGAUGUUUGUGACGAGCCGGAAGAAGCAGGCAGGCACUCUUAUCAGCACAGAAGAAUGCAAAGAAUUUAACCGUCUCACUCAUCAGCGUGUGUCUUCCUGCUAGUAACCAUGUUUUUUCUAAACAUAUGGGAUUAAACAGCUAAACGACUUCAUGCAGAAGGGAUUGUGCAGCACUGCACAGCACAGAUUCAACGCAGCGGAGCUCAUGGGCACCAUCUUCAGCUCUUCAUUCUUCUUUGGGAAGUAAGCGACGUAUCAGCUCAUGUGCAGUUGGAGCAGUAUUCUGGUUUUUGACAACUGUGCAUGUGCUGAAAGUCACGAAAAUUGCAGAAGCACCGGAAGAAGACCCGAAGAUUACUGCCUACACUUGUUGGGUCAGCAAUUACAUUUUACAUAGUAGACUGAACUAUUUGCAGUGAAAAUA